rnacentral:rRNA from 1 species
UACGUAGGGUGCGAGCGUUAAUCGGAAUUACUGGGCGUAAAGCGUGCGUAGGCGGUUCGUUCUGUCUGCUGUGAAAGCCCCGGGCUUAACCUGGGAAUGGCAGUGGAAACUGGCGGGCUUGAGUGUGGCAGAGGGGGGUGGAAUUCCGCGUGUAGCAGUGAAAUGCGUAGAGAUGCGGAGGAACACCGAUGGCGAAGGCAGCCCCCUGGGCUAACACUGACGCUGAGGCACGAAAGCGUGGGGAGCAAACAGG